AACGAACGCUGGCGGCAUGCCUAACACAUGCAAGUCGAACGAGACCUUCGGGUCUAGUGGCGCACGGGUGCGUAACGCGUGGGAACCUGCCCUUAGGUUCGGAAUAACUCCCCGAAAGGGGUGCUAAUACCGGAUAAUGUCUUCGGACCAAAGAUUUAUCGCCUUUGGAUGGGCCCGCGUUGGAUUAGCUAGUUGGUAGGGUAAAAGCCUACCAAGGCGACGAUCCAUAGCUGGUCUGAGAGGAUGAUCAGCCACACUGGGACUGAGACACGGCCCAGACCCCUACGGGGGGCAGCAGUGGGGAAUAUUGGAAAAUGGGCGAAAGCCUGAUCCAGCAAGGCCGGGGGAGUGAUGAAGGCCUUAGGGUUGAAAAGCUUUUUUCCCCGGGAUGAUAAUGACAGUCCCGGGAGAAUAAACCCCGGCUAACCCCGU
rnacentral:rRNA from 1 species